rnacentral:rRNA from 1 species
UACAGAGGUCUCAAGCGUUGUUCGGAUUCAUUGGGCGUAAAGGGUGCGUAGGCGGCGCGGUAAGUCGGGUGUGAAAUCUCGGGGCUUAACUCCGAAACUGCAUUCGAUACUGCGGUGCUUGAGGACUGGAGAGGAGACUGGAAUUUACGGUGUAGCGGUGAAAUGCGUAGAUAUCGUAAGGAAGACCAGUGGCGAAGGCGGGUCUCUGGACAGUUCCUGACGCUGAGGCACGAAGGCCAGGGGAGCAAACGGG